rnacentral:rRNA from 1 species
UACGUAGGGUGCGAGCGUUAAUCGGAAUUACUGGGCGUAAAGCGUGCGCAGGCGGUUCGUUAAGUCAGCUGUGAAAGCCCCGGGCUCAACCUGGGAAUUGCGGUUGAAACUGGCGAACUAGAAUCUGGCAGAGGGGGGUGGAAUUCCACGUGUAGCAGUGAAAUGCGUAGAGAUGUGGAGGAACACCGAUGGCGAAGGCAGCCCCCUGGGCUAAGAUUGACGCUCAGGCACGAAAGCGUGGGGAGCAAACAGG